rnacentral:rRNA from 1 species
GAUGAACGCUAGCGGCAGGCCUAAUACAUGCAAGUCGAACGGGAUCCAGAUCAAAGCUUGCUUUGGUCUGGUGAGAGUGGCGCACGGGUGCGUAACGCGUGAGCAACCUACCCUUGUCAGGGGGAUAGCCCGGCGAAAGUCGGAUUAAUACCGCAUGACAUCAUUGAGAGGCAUCUUUCGAUGAUCAAAGAUUUAUCGGACAAGGAUGGGCUCGCGUGACAUUAGCUAGUUGGUAAGGUAACGGCUUACCAAGGCUGCGAUGUCUAGGGGCUCUGAGAGGAGAAUCCCCCACACUGGUACUGGGACACGGACCAGACUCCUACGGGAGGCAGCAGUAAGGAAUAUUGGUCAAUGGACGGAAGUCUGAACCAGCCAUGCCGCGUGCAGGAGGACGGCCCUAUGGGUUGUAAACUGCUUUUAUACGGGAACAAACGUCGGUACGUGUACCGGUCUGAGUGUACCGGAAGAAUAAGGAUCGGCUAACUCCGUG